rnacentral:rRNA from 1 species
AACACAUGCAAGUCGAACGAAGUAGCAAUACUUAGUGGCAGACGGGUGAGUAACAUGUGGGUAUCUGCCCUUUGGCCUGGAAUAACACGAGGAAACUUGUGCUAAUACCGGAUAAGUCUUUACGGAGAAAGCUUUAUGCACCAUUGGAUGAGCCCGCACUUGAUUAGUUUGUUGGUGGGGUAAUGGCCUACCAAGACUGUGAUCAAUAGCUGAUUUGAGAGGAUGAUCAGCAACACUGGGACUGAGACACGGCCCAGACUCCUACGGGAGGCAGCAGUGGGGAAUCUUAGACAAUGGGCGCAAGCCUGAUCUAGCCAUGCCGCGUGAGUGAUGAAGGCCUUAGGGUCGUAAAGCUCUUUCGCCUGUGAAGAUAAUGACUGUAGCAGGUAAAGAAACCCCGGCUAACUCCGUGCCAGCAGCCGCGGUAAUACGGAGGGGGUUAGCGUUGUUCGGAAUUACUGGGCGUAAAGCGCGCGUAGGCGGACAUUUAAGUCAGGGGUGAAAUCCCGGGGCUCAACCCCGGAACUGCCCUUGAUACUGGGUGUCUUGAGUUCGAGAGAGGUGAGUGGAAUUCCGAGUGUAGAGGUAAAAUUCGUAGAUAUUCGGAGGAACACCAGUGGCGAAGGCGGCUCACUGGCUCGAUACUGACGCUGAGGUGCGAAAGUGUGGGGAGCAAACAGGAUUAGAUACCCUGGUAGUCCACACCGUAAACGAUGAAUGCCAGUCGUCGGGCAGUAUACUGUUCGGUGACACACCUAACGGAUUAAGCAUUCCGCCUGGGGAGUACGGUCGCAAGAUUAAAACUCAAGGAAUUGACGGGGGCCCGCACAGCGUGGAGCAUGUGGUUUAAUUCGAAGCAACGCGCAGAACCUUACCAACCCUUGACAUUUGUCGCCACCUCCAGAGAUGGGAGGGGUUC